ACGCCUAACACAUGCAAGUCGAACGGAACUGUUAAGGAAGAUUUCUUCGGAGUGAUUUCUUUUCGGUUUAGUGGCGGACGGGUGAGUAACGCGUGAGGAACCUGCCUUCCAGAGGGGGAUAACGUUUGGAAACGAACGCUAAUACCGCAUACCUUAUAAAGAUCGCAUGAUCUUUAUAAGAAAGGAGCACUCCGCUGGAAGAUGGCCUCGCGUCCAAUUAGCUAGUUGGUGAGGUAACGGCCCACCAAGGCGACGAUUGGUAGCCGGACUGAGAGGUUGAACGGCCACAUUGGGACUGAGACACGGCCCAGACUCCUACGGGAGGCAGCAGUGGGGAAUAUUGCACAAUGGGGGAAACCCUGAUGCAGCGAUGCCGCGUGAGGGAAGAAGGUUUUCGGAUUGUAAACCUCUGUUUUAAGUGAAGAUAAUGACGGUAGCUUAAGAGGAAGCCACGGCUAACUACGUGCCAGCAGCCGCGGUAAUACGUAGGUGGCAAGCGUUGUCCGGAAUUACUGGGUGUAAAGGGAGCGUAGGCGGGGAUGCAAGUUGAAUGUCAAAGCCAGGGGCUCAACCCCUGAUCGCGUUCAAAACUGUAUCUCUUGAGUGAAGUAGAGGCAGGCGGAAUUCCUAGUGUAGCGGUGAAAUGCGUAAAUAUUAGGAGGAACACCAGUGGCGAAGGCGGCCUGCUGGGCUUUAUCUGACGCUGAGGCUCGAAAGCGUGGGUAGCAAACAGGAUUAGAUACCCUGGUAGUCCACGCCGUAAA
rnacentral:rRNA from 1 species